rnacentral:rRNA from 1 species
GAUGAACGCUGGCGGCGUGCCUAACACAUGCAAGUCGAACGAAGCUGUUUAACGGAAGCCUUCGGGUGGAAGUUAAAUAGACUGAGUGGCGGACGGGUGAGUAACGCGUGGGUAACCUGCCCUACACAGGGGGACAACAGCUGGAAACGGCUGCUAAUACCGCAUAAGCGCACAGUACCGCAUGGUACAGUGUGAAAAACUCCGGUGGUGUAGGAUGGACCCGCGUCCGAUUAGCUAGUUGGUAAGGUAACGGCUUACCAAGGCAACGAUCAGUAGCCGGACUGAGAGGUCGAUCGGCCACAUUGGGACUGAGACACGGCCCAGACUCCCACGGGAGGCAGCAGUGGGGAAUAUUGGGCAAUGGGCGAAAGCCUGACCCAGCGACGCCGCGUGGAGGAAGAAGGUUUUCGGAUUGUAAACUCCUGUCUUCGGGGAAGAUAAUGACGGUACCCGAGGAGGAAGCCACGGCUAACUACGUGCCAGCCGCCGCGGUAAUAC